CCCUAGCCCCGAUUGCAGCAUUUGUUUGAGCUCAUUUUAUGAGGUUUCGGCGGCGGCAAAGCCGCCGCCGAAACCUCAUAAAAUAGCGAGUGCGGAAAGCGGGAUAAAGC
rnacentral:sRNA from 1 species